rnacentral:rRNA from 1 species
UACGGGGGGGGCAAGCGUUGUUCGGAAUUACUGGGCGUAAAGGGCGCGUAGGCGGCCUGCUAAGUCGGACGUGAAAUCCCUCGGCUCAACCGGGGAACUGCGUCCGAUACUGGUGGGCUCGAAUCCGGGAGAGGGAUGUGGAAUUCCAGGUGUAGCGGUGAAAUGCGUAGAUAUCUGGAGGAACACCGGUGGCGAAGGCGGCAUCCUGGACCGGUAUUGACGCUGAUGCGCGAAAGCGUGGGGAGCAAACAGG